rnacentral:rRNA from 1 species
AUGGAGCCUGUGAAGCGUUUGACUUGUGUGAAGGAGGAAAAUGGCAACUGUGGGCGCGAGUUCAUCAAAUGCUUAAGCAAGCCACAACCGGGGCAGGUUCUGAAGAAAUGUGGACAUUUCGAGUGGCUCGAUGAGUAUGUUGAGAGGUUGAAAUUCGAGGCUUCAACACAAGAGCUCAAUUUCAAUUUUGGGGGGCAGCUUGGUGUGGAACACGCCUCACAUUUGGUGGACAGAGCCGAUCCGAUGAUGGACAGUGCUGAAGUGAAGUGUGAAUUGAAGAAAAUUGGCAAGCAAUUAAAGCAGCUGAUCGAGCGGCAAGCAAAUAUGAUGGCUGGAGCAUUUUAUUGCUCUGUCAUUGCUAUGGAUUUCUUUUACUUGAUGUUCAUCAAUCGCUAG